UUAAGUUCAGCGGGUAUUCCUACCUGAUCUGAGGUCAACCUUGGUAUAGUUGGGGGUUUUACGGCGUGACCGCACCGCUCUCCGCCUGCGAGGUGGUAUGUUACUACGCAGAGGAGGCUACGGCGUGGUCGCCACUAUGUUUCGGGGCCGGCCCGCUGUCAGACGGCAGGCCGAUCCCCAACACCGCAUCCAGCAAGAAG
rnacentral:misc_RNA from 1 species